GUUAUUUGUGUGUUUUUUUUUUAUUAUUAUUAUCAUUGUAUACUCAUUUUACGAUCUUUUACUAUUUCAUUAAAAGAUCAAAAUGAAUUACUUAAAUUCUUUUUCUAUACGCAUUAAAAUGUUUGUAGCAUUUCACUCUUUAUAAUGUGCCAUACGUUGUAUUUUGGAAGGCAACAUUGAACAUUUAAUUUCUGCAACUUUUAUUUGAAACGGCCUCUAUAUUAUAUAACAGACAUUGAAGUAGUUUCUUACUGAAGUCAUAAACAAAUCGGUCUUUUUUUUAAUUACAUUAAAGAACGAACGCUGGUUUCUUUUGUUCUGAAAUUUUCCAUAGAUUUUCCCGUGUGAUACUGAAAUAUCUUCAUAUCAUAGAUGACAGUCAUGAUCGGAUUUAAGUAAAUUCUCUUGGAUAAAUUUUGGCAGUAUAUUAAGACUACUCUCGUUUAUUUAACGAUAAAAAUAUAAUCAAGAAAAC
rnacentral:lncRNA from 1 species